GGAAAGCCGGCCUCACGGGCGGGAGGGAGAGGCUUGAGCGAGGGGCUAGAGCCGCGAGGACUGACCAGCACCAGAGGAUACAAGAGGAGGAGAGAGACCUCACUGGUUCGGGCGACAUUUCACCCCCCCAGCACCCCAGUCGGCACAGCCUUCAUCUCCUCGUCCUCCAGGCAGCACAAGCCAUUGUGGAAUCUCCACCAGGUGUACAGAACGGUGCCUCUGCGUCCUGCCACUCAGGACCUCUCAAGUCCCCGAUGUGAUGGCUCCUCAGCAUGAUCAGGAGUGAGCGUAAUUCAGACCUAUUUAGAUCCGUCAGCCCACGGACCAGGGGGACCUUGAGCAGGACAGUCUUUUGUCUCCAAGCAGUCAUUCCCUGUUAUACAAGCAAGAGUCAGGAGGAGGAAUGGUUUUGGCAUCAUCCCCCACA
ensembl:lncRNA MIR9-1HG MIR9-1 host gene